CAAUUCGCCUCGGGAGGGGCCUGCGGCCUAUCAGCUAGUUGGUGAGGUAAUGGCUCACCAAGGCGACGACGGGUAGGGGACCUGAGAGGGUGACCCCCCACACUGGAACUGAAACACGGACCAGACACCUACGGGUGGCUGCAGUCGAGAAUCUUCGGCAUGGACGAAAGUCUGACCGAGCGACGCCGCGUGUGGGAUGAAGGCUUUCGGGUUGUAAACCACUGUCAGAGGGGAGGAAAUCCUUGAGGGCUAUCCCUCUUGGUUGACCUAUCCUCAGAGGAAGUACGGGCUAAGUACGUGCCAGCAGCCGCGGUAAUACGUACCGUACAAACGUUAUUCGGAAUCACUGGGCUUAAAGGGUGCGUAGGCGGUGCGGUCAGUUGGGUGUGAAAUCCCUCGGCUCAACCGAGGAACUGCGCCCAAUACUGCCGUACUCGAGGGAGACAGAGGUAAGCG
rnacentral:rRNA from 1 species